UUAUGGCCACAUCACGCUAAAACACCAGUUCCCGUACGGAUCACCGAAGAUAAGCAACGUUGAGCCUGGUCAGUACCCAGAUGGGUGACCGCUUGGGAAUACGAGGU